GCCAGACUCCUACGGGAGGCAGCAGUGGGGAAUAUUGCACAAUGGGGGGAACCCUGAUGCAGCGACGCCGCGUGGGUGAAGGAGCACCUCGGUGCGUAAAGCCCUAUCGGCAGGGAAGAAACAGACGGUACCUGACUAAGAAGCCCCGGCUAACUACGUGCCAGCAGCCGCGGUAAUACGUAGGGGGCAAGCGUUAUCCGGAUUUACUGGGUGUAAAGGGAGCGUAGACGGUUAUGCAAGUCUGAAGUGAAAGCCCAAGGCUCAACCAUGGGACUGCUUUGGAAACUGUAAAACUGGAGUGCAGGAGAGGUAAGCGGAAUUCCUAGUGUAGCGGUGAAAUGCGUAGAUAUUAGGAGGAACACCAGUGGCGAAGGCGGCUUACUGGACGGUAACUGACGUUGAGGCUCGAAAGCGUGGGGAGCAAACAGGAUUAGAUACCCCCGUAU
rnacentral:rRNA from 1 species